GCCAUGUGGAACUAGAGAAGAUGAAGACACCGCAGGAAGCUGUGGAGAGUAGAGGAGAUGCAGAGGAAGGCAUGGGCAACACGGAAGCUCUUGCAAGUGCCUCACAGAUAGGACACAUGCUGCCAUGGAAGAGAAACAAAAGGGCCUGGAAAAGGUGUGGACCAUCAGGAACUGGCUUCUCCCUGGC